rnacentral:rRNA from 1 species
GACGGACGCUGGCGGCGUGCCUAAUACAUGCAAGUAGAACGCUGAAGAGAGGAGCUUGCUCUUCUUGGAUGAGUUGCGAACGGGUGAGUAACGCGUGGGUAACCUGCCUUGUAGCGGGGGAUAACUAUUGGAAACGAUAGCUAAUACCGCAUAACAAUGGAUGACACAUGUCAUUUAUUUGAAAGGGGCAAUUGCUCCACUACAAGAUGGACCUGCGUUGUAUUAGCUAGUAGGUGAGGUAAUGGCUCACCUAGGCGACGAUACAUAGCCGACCUGAGAGGGUGAUCGGCCACACUGGGACUGAGACACGGCCCAGACUCCUACGGGAGGCAGCAGUAGGGAAUCUUCGGCAAUGGGGGCAACCCUGACCGAGCAACGCCGCGUGAGUGAAGAAGGUUUUCGGAUCGUAAAGCUCUGUUGUAAGUCAAGAACGGGUGUGAGAGUGGAAAGUUCACACUGUGACGGUAGCUUACCAGAAAGGGACGGCUAACUACGUG